rnacentral:rRNA from 1 species
ACGCUUGGUGACGGCUACACUUGCAAAUUUUGGCGUGAUCACUGGCUCCAAGGGCAGUCCAUCUCCGAGAUCGCGCCAACCCUACUUACUCAUAUCCCGCGUCAGCGCCGGAACAAGAGACUUGUCUGCGAGGCCCUCUCAGAUCGUUGUUGGAUCACGAACAUCCAUGGCAACCUUAGUCCUGCGACAAUCCUCGAGUAUGUGGAACUUUGGAGGCGUCUUCAGGGGAUAACCCUCUCUAGCGAGCCGGAGCGGCUUUCUUGGAAAUGGACCGCUCACAGCACUUACACGGUGAGCUCUGCCUACAGAGCGCAAUUCAUGGGUGCCACUACUUCGCCCCACUGA